rnacentral:rRNA from 1 species
AGAAUCAACGCUGGCGGCGUGCCUAACACAUGCAAGUCGAACGCGAAAACCCCGCAAGGGGUCAGUAGAGUGGCGAACGGGUGAGUAACACGUGGGUGACCUACCUUCGAAUGGGGGAUAACGUCCCGAAAGGGACGCUAAUACCGCAUAACAUCCUGCUUUUGAACAGGUGGAGAUCAAAGCCGGGGAUCGCAAGACCUGGCGUUUGAAGAGGGGCCCGCGUCUGAUUAGCUAGUUGGUGAGGUAACGGCCCACCAAGGCGACGAUCAGUAUCCGGCCUGAGAGGGCGGACGGACACACUGGGACUGAGACACGGCCCAGACUCCUACGGGAGGCAGCAGUGGGGAAUUGUUCGCAAUGGGCGCAAGCCUGACGACGCAACGCCGCGUGGAGGAUAAAGGUCUUCGGAUUGUAAACUCCUGUUGCCCGGGACGAAAAGCUUCGACCUAACACGUCGAAGUCUGACGGUACCGGGUGAGGAAGCCCCGGCUAACUCUGUGCCAGCAGCCGCGGUAAUACAGAGGGGGCAAGCGUUGUUCGGAAUUACUGGGCGUAAAGGGCGCGUAGGCGGCCUGCUAAGUCGAACGUGAAAUCCCCGGGCUCAACCCGGGAACUGCGUCCGAUACUGGCAGGCUUGAAUCCGGGAGAGGGAUGCGGAAUUCCAGGUGUAGCGGUGAAAUGCGUAGAUAUCUGGAGGAACACCGGUGGCGAAGGCGGCAUCCUGGACCGGCAUUGACGCUGAGGCGCGAAAGCCAGGGGAGCAAACGGGAUUAGAUACCCCGGUAGUCCUGGCCCUAAACGAUGAAUGUUUGGGUUGUGGCGGGUAUCGAUCCCUGCCGUGCCGAAGCUAACGCAUUAAGCAUUCCGCCUGGGGGAGUACGGUCGCAAGGCUGAA